AGCAAACAUAUCUGAGCACA
rnacentral:miRNA from 1 species